ACAUUUGCCUGGCAGCGGAGAUACCAUGAUCAUGAAGGUGGUUUUCCCAGGGCGAGGCUUAUCAAUUGCACUCUGGAUGUGCUGACACCUGCGAUUUCCCCACAUGAGGGAAACUUGACUGCAUAAUUUGUGGUAGUGGGGGACUACGUUUGCCCUCUCCCCUG
ensembl:snRNA U1 U1 spliceosomal RNA